rnacentral:misc_RNA from 1 species
UUUCCGUAGGCGAACCUGCGGAAGGAUCAUUAUUGUAUAACCGAGGUGCGAGGGCUUUCGCUGACCCGAAAGGUCGUGCACGCCCGAGUGCCCUCACACACAUCCAUCUCACCCCUAUGUGCACCACCGCGUGGGUCCCCCUUUGGCUUGUUCGGAGGGGGGCUUACGUUUUCACACAAACUUUGUAUGCAGUGUAGAAUGUAUUUUUUGUUUUUGCGAUCACGCAAUCAAUACAACUUUCAACAACGGAUCUCUUGGCUCUC